UACGUAGGGGGCAAGCGUUAUCCGGAUUUACUGGGUGUAAAGGGAGCGUAGACGGUCGGAUCAGUCAGAUGUGAAAGCCCGGGGCUCAACCCCGGGACUGCAUUUGAAACUGUCGGACUGGAGUGCAGGAGAGGUAAGUGGAAUUCCUAGUGUAGCGGUGAAAUGCGUAGAUAUUAGGAGGAACACCAGUGGCGAAGGCGGCUUACUGGACUGUAACUGACGUUGAUGCUCGAAAGCGUGGGGAGCAAACAGG
rnacentral:rRNA from 1 species